rnacentral:rRNA from 1 species
UACAGAGGUCUCGAGCGUUAGGCGGAAUCACUGGGCUUAAAGCGUGUGUAGGUGGAUGCCUAAGUACCUUGUGAAAUCCCACAGCUUAACUGUGGAACUGCUUGGUAUACUGGGUGUCUUGAGUCACUCAGGGGCGAGCGGAACAAAUGGUGGAGCGGUGAAAUGCGUAGAUAUCAUUUGGAACGCCAAUGGUGAAAACAGCUCGCUGGGGGUGUACUGACACUGAGACACGAAAGCCAGGGGAGCGACCGGG